AAAAAGCGGAGGAAAAGAAACCAACAGGGAUUGCCCCAGUAACGGCGAGUGAAGCGGCAAGAGCUCAGAUUUGAAAUCGCCUCGGCGAGUUGUAAAUUGCAGGUUGGAGCCUCUGCGGCGCACGUAGUCUAAGUCCCUUGGAACAGGGCGCCAUUGAGGGUGAGAGCCCCGUGAGACUUCGUGCCAAGCUGUGAGGCCCUUCUGACGAGUCGAGUUGUUUGGGAAUGCAGCUCUAAGCGGGUGGUAAAUUCCAUCUAAGGCUAAAUAUUGGCGAGAGACUGAUAGCGAACAAGUACUGUGAAGGAAACGUGAAAAGCACUUUGAAAAGAGAGUGAAACAGCACGUGAAAUUGUUGAAAGGGAAGGGUAUUUUGCUCGACAUGGGGAUUGCGCAUCUCUGCUCCUUGUGGGCGGGGCGCUGUGCUUUUCCUGGGCCAGCAUCAGUUUUUGCUGCAGGAGAAUGGCCGGGAGAACGUGGCUCCUCGGAGUGUUAUAGCUCCCGGCAGAUGCUGCGUGCGGGGACUGAGGACUGCGACAUCUGUCAAGGAUGCUGGCAUAACGCCGAAAUACCGCCCGUCUUGA
rnacentral:rRNA from 1 species